rnacentral:rRNA from 1 species
AGACGUCUACAUUAGAUACCCGCGUAGUCCCAGCCGUAAACUAUGCGCGUUAGGUGUAUCGGUGACCACGAGUUACCGAGGUGCCGAAGGGAAACCGUGAAACGUGCCGCCUGGGAAGUACGGUCGCAAGGCCGAAACUUAAAGGAAUUGGCGGGGGAGCACCACAACAGGUGGAGCCUGCGGUUUAAUUGGACUCAACGCCGGGAAGCUCACCGGAUAAGACAGCGGAAUGAUUGCCGGGCUGAAGACUCUGCUAGAUUUUCAG